GCCUACGGCCAUCCACCCUGGUAACGCCGAUCUCGUCUGAUCUCGAAGCUAAGCAGGGUCGGGCCUGGUUAGUACUUGGAUGGGAGACCUCCUGGGAAUACCGGGUGCUGUAGGCU
rnacentral:rRNA from 7 species